rnacentral:rRNA from 1 species
CCUACGGGAGGCUGCAGUGAGGAAUAUUGGUCAAUGGACGAGAGUCUGAACCAGCCAAGUAGCGUGAAGGAUGACUGCCCUAUGGGUUGUAAACUUCUUUUAUAUGGGAAUAAAAUGUUCCACGUGUGGGAUUUUGUAUGUACCAUAUGAAUAAGGAUCGGCUAACUCCGUGCCAGCAGCCGCGGUAAUACGGAGGAUCCGAGCGUUGUCUGGAUUUAUUGGGUUUAAAGGGAGCGUAGGUGGAUUGUUAAGUCAGUUGUGAAAGUUUGCGGCUCAACCGUAGAAUUGCAGUUGAAACUGGCAGUCUUGAGUACAGUAGAGGUGGGCGGAAUUCGUGGUGUAGCGGUGAAAUGCUUAGAUAUCACGAAGAACUCCGAUUGCGAAGGCAGUUCACUGGACUGCAACUGACACUGAGGCUCGAAAGUGUGGGUAUCAAACAGGAUUAGAUACCCGUGUAGUC